GAGGGUAUUACUCAAGUGGUAGAGCACAUGUUUAGCAUGCAUGGGGUCCUGGGUUCAAUCCCCAGUAUCUCCU
rnacentral:tRNA from 1 species